GUCCCUCUAGCUUAGUGUUUGUUUGAGGGGGUCAUUAUCUUAGAGGGAAGAGAAUUCUCAUUUAUGAUGACUAAACAAACUGAUUAAGGAUAAAUAAGAGGUAAGCUGAAAUAUGAUUUUUAAAUGAAAUACAACAAAGCACACAUGGCUUGGCCUCCUUUUUUAAACGUGAAAAUCUGUAGACUUUGCAAAGAAAAUCUUACUUUGUUCUUAUUUGGUGCCAAGGUGUGACCCUCAAGUUCAUUUCCACCUGGAUCUACCAUGCUUUCUGGGGCAGAGCAAAUCUUCCAAUGGGGUGAAAAAGAUUUAAAUAAUAUUCCAUUCUGGUAGUAUAAUGUUAAUUAGGAAAACGACAAAUAGAAAAGUUAAUUUCAAUUUUACAUGACCUGCUGUGUGUCUUAGCUUCUAGUUCAUCCGGAGUGUGUCUUCUGCUUCUCUAGCAGAGCAGGUCCUCCACUCGGGGAUGCCAACUGAAGAGAAAUUAAAUGAACUGCUCAACCACAAGUGCCUGAGGAAUUGCAGAGAUUUCACUGGAAAAUACUGACAAUACUGGCGUCUGCCAUGUUCAGUGGCUGAAGAAACGGGGCUGUGCUCCAUCAAUUCAAAGGACAUCCUCAUAAUAAACAUACGGAAUGAGUGGGAGAAAAUGUCACCUGGCUACUAAGAAUCCUGUGAAGUGGAUUAUUCAUGUGUAAUCCAUGAAGAUGCAGAAUCUUAGAAGAAUCAGAAAUUUGUCUAAAUGUGUUCACAUUUGUGGAAACAACCUUCUAAAUCAGGGCUGUCAAACUUCUGAAUUCGUUAAUCGCGGCACGGAGCUUUUAGUGAUUGGGUUGAAUGAGUAAAUUGGAAUAAAUUGCUAACAAUAGUAAGCCAUAUUCAAUAACUCUAAUAAAAGUAUUACAUCUCCAA
rnacentral:sRNA from 1 species